AUUGAACGCUGGCGGCAGGCUUAACACAUGCAAGUCGAGCGGAGAUGAGGUGCUUGCACCUUAUCUUAGCGGCGGACGGGUGAGUAAUGCUUAGGAAUCUGCCUAUUAGUGGGGGACAACAUUCCGAAAGGAAUGCUAAUACCGCAUACGCCCUACGGGGGAAAGCAGGGGAUCUUCGGACCUUGCGCUAAUAGAUGAGCCUAAGUCGGAUUAGGCUAGUUGGUGGGGUAAAGGCCUACCAAGGCGACGAUCUGUAGCAGGUCUGAGAGGAUGAUCCGCCACACUUGGACUGAGACACGGCCCAGACUCCAACGGGAGGCAGCAGUAGGGAAUAUUGGACAAUGGGCGGAAGCCUGAUCCAGCCAUGCCGCGUGUGUGAAGAAGGCCUUUGGGUUGUAAAGCACUUUAAGCGAUGAGGAGGCUACCUGGAUUAAUACUCUAGGAUAGUGGACGUUACUCGCAGAAUAAGCACCGGCUAACUCUGUGCCAGCCGCCGCCGUAAGAC
rnacentral:rRNA from 1 species